AACGCACAUUGCGCCUGCUAGCAUUCUGGCAGGCAUGCCUGUUCGAGCGUCAUUUCAACCCUCAAGCUUUGCUUGGUGUUGAGGUUCUAUAAUUAUAGGCCUCUAAAUCUAUUGGCAGAACGUCAUAAACUCUCAAUUGUAGUAAAUUUUAUUUCUAUUGAAGAAUUUUGACCAUUCUAGCCGUAAAACACAGCGUGCUCUUUUGAGCCCUAUUUUUUACAAGGUUGACCUCGGAUCAGGUAGGAAUACCCGCUGAACUUAA
rnacentral:misc_RNA from 1 species